GGUGUUGCUUAUAUGGGAUCGGUAUUGUUUAUGCUUUGGUUCUGCUUCUGCUGAGUUCAUCUGCUAUAGUUUUUUUUGGUUUGUCUCUCUGCCACUAAUCCUAUUGGUCAAAGUGUCCCUACCCUUUGUUUCUUAAUAUAUCUUCUUUUGCUGAUUGAGGAAAAAAACUUAUCUUGGGGUGAUUAUGAAACAUUUCUUUUGUUGAUCGUGGAAAAAAAACUUAUCUUGGGGUGAUUACGAAACAUACUGUUGAACCCACCAAAAAAUCUAUUGAUCGACACCUAAUGUGAAGCUAAAUAUCUGCUUAUGUUUUCCUGUUCAAUUGAGGACCCAUCAUAGAUUAGUUUCCAUCUCAAUUUCCACCUUCUCAUGGACUCAUGGUGAGAUGGAAACUUGUACUUGAAAAAAGCAAACCUGAAAACUGUUAGUCCAUUAGUCUUAUCUUGUUGAUGUUUGUCUUUUUGAGUUGUAUUGUUUAAGAAUUUAAGAUACUAAAGAAAUUCAGUCGAAAAAAUGUUACAAUAAGGAUUAUAUCUUUUGCCUCUGUCCUAUUAUUUCGCCUUUACCAAUCUUGAACAUUAUCUUAACUGAUUAUCCUAAAUUCCACACUAUUCCCAAUUUUGGAAGGAUUUUGUAUGAUUAUACUAAAGUUCACUUUGAUUAGGUGAAAAAAAGGGGACUUUGUCACUUUGCUAGGUGAAAAAAGGGGACUUUCUCAUUUUUCUGAUGUUUAUGUGUGUUUAGAAGGUUAGUGCAAUGGGCAGCACCAUGAGCAUUUGGACAUAUUUGGUAUGUUAUGGUCCUUUCAUCUUUGUAUAACAAAAGGACUUCUCUUUGUUAUUUUGUCAUUCUAUAAUACAACUUUAGAUGGAUGGGCUCUAAUCAUUUGGCCCAUAAGAGCAAUGCUUAGAAAGAUUGUUUAGGGAUAUUAAUGUCCUAAAGAACUGUUUGUGAUGAAGUGAAGGUUACUCCUACAUUCUUUGGCUAUUACUAAUUAUUCUUCUAUGUUUGUUGUAGAGAGCUGGAGAGCCUCAAAGUCAAGAUUAGGUUAAAAAAAAUGUGAAGGAAAAGACAAGUGAAAUGUAUGUGCAUUUUGGUGCAGUUGUAAGAUUGCAACAUUGACACCUCAUAUUUAUCCGAUUCGUUCUUCGUAAGUUGGUUAAAUUUUUUAUAUGGGCUUUAUGGUACUUCUCUAUACUGUAAUGUUCUAGUAACUCAAUUCGUUCGAAUGAUUGAUGACUGCCUUAUCAGUGAUCCUUUGGUGCCUAACCCACUUGUAUAGCUGAAUUGCAAAUUGGAGACAAAGAGCAAAAGAAGGUGUCAAUCCUCUUCCAGAUCCUAAGCCAAUUAAUUGCUUAGGAUGACCGCUUGAAACCCAAUGAUAGAUAUGAAGUUCGGCGAGCGGAUCCAUAAGACGAUAAUGUUGAUGUGCCUCUUGCUUGAAAUAAUGGUUGUGUAAGUCUCAAACUCUACAGUAACCAGGAGAGAAUAGGAUAAAGGGGACAUGGGGGUGAGGAAAAGGAGACUUGGACGAUACAAAGGAUAGACUUUGGUUUUUUUCUCUUGUCUAUGUGAAGGUUGGAUACUCUGAUCUUGAGAGACUAAGGAAUCACCAAAUGAGCAGUUUUUUGAGUUGGGGAAAGUGCUUGGUCAGAUUAGGUUUAUCCUUGGAAGCUGCUGCUGGAAGAGAUACCAAGCCAACAUUAACAUACUCAGUACCUUCCCCUUCACUUUCCAAAGCUCGUUUUGAAACAGAUGGAAUAGCUGAAACUGGAGCUUCCUCCUCAUCAGACAAAACAGACUUGGUAACAACAGCUUGUCUACCAACCAAGCUAUCAAUUCUACUACAAGAGACAUCUGAAAUUGAAGUCUUGAUAUCACUGUUUGAACUCGGGAAAGUUUUGUCAUUUGUUUUAUCUAAUUAGUCAGACUCUUUUAUGUAGUUUUUGUAGGGGAAUUGUUUUCCCUGCUAAUGUAAUGAAUCUUUAUUCAAUGGUUAAAUUGUAUAUUGUACAUUGACGUUUAGAUAUAGUUGGUGUUGAAUGGAAUAUUUCAUUUUUGUUUUUU